CUCAUAAAAGCUUUAAAUUGCAGUACUCUUUCUCUUCAUAAUCUUUUCCAGCGUCAUGAGAGGCUGAGGUCUACCCCAGCAUACUGCAGAAGACUCCCUAAGGUUACCAGUCUGUCACAGGGUCAAUGACAAGUCUAUUAAUUUCAGUGAUCUAUUUAAAAUUACUCCAAAGAUGUUGAAAUGCACCUCACCAGCCCUGCUACUAUUUAGAAGUUUGUAUGUGAUGUUACCAUGAACUCGGUGUGUGUGUAAUGUUUACACGAGGGAACUCAGAACUCUGCAUAACCUCUUCUGAUAUAAGAUAUUGUCAGUCAGUGAUGUGCAUUUCAGAAAUUAGUCAUUAAUUUAUGUAUUGCUUUUUAGAAAGCCACUCUUCUUUCAUUUGGCUGUCUACUUGAACUGUGACUUUUAGCCUGAUUUCCUACAUUUCCCAGAAUGCUUUUCUAAAAACCUAUUGAACACAUCUGACUGAAAAUUAAAAAACUAUUAUAGUAAAGUAUUAUAAUUUUUGUCAACUAAUAAAAAUAGUAUAAUAGUAAUAGAAUAAUAAAAGAGUAUAUGCCACUUUAAAAAGAAGUUGAUUAAGCUUCUUGACCUGUUGCACUAGUUAGCAGCAUCUCGCAUUUCAGUAAGGUCUCGGCCAGUAACGUUAGCUUAUGUUACUGGUUCCGGGAAAGGAAGAAUUUAAGAAAUUUACGGUCUAAAUUAAUUCACUAUCCCACAGAAAAUUAGACAAGAAGCAGCCACACACAUACAGCUGGAACAAAGAGUCCAUGCAGGUUAGCAUGCCAAAAUUUAUGAAAAAGUGUGUCUUCACUGCUCUGACUGUUGGAGGUUCUCCAGCACUCUCCAAACAGGUCUGAUCCUUAACAAAGGUGAGGGGCUGCAGCUCAUUGUGUUCCAGCACAGCAGAGGUGAACGGAGAGAGGUCUGUGUUCCUGGCACACGAUUCCUUCAGCACGCUGUCACGUCUCUUCAACUCUUCCCUUCUCUGAUGUUACCUGACAGGGAGGGUGUGUGAUGGCAGUGCCUUCAGGCUCCUCCAGGCGUAAGAAUCAGUGAGCAGGUGGAGCACACCGGCAGCGCUGUCUUCUGACGAGUCCCCGCCGUCUCCUGUUUUGUCAGGACCCCUGGAGCGAAGACCAGGGAGUGUGUGUGUUUAUGUGUGUGUGUGUGUGUGUGUGUUUGUUGAGCGGUUGGGAUGCACUGUGAUCAUUAGGAUUCACAAUGGCUUUGACAGCGGGGCUCUGGAGCAGUGGACACAGCAUAUGCCUAGGGAGAUAACUGGUUGGCUGACUGGUUAUCAUACUGGCUGGCCAGUACGCUAACUGUGUCCGCUCCACUAAUAAAUCCAGAUCCUUUAAUUCAAACAGACGUCGCUCUGGAUGUAAGGCCCACUCUGUGUAGCUGACUUGUCUGUAUUGCAUCAAGCAGGACCACAAGCCUGAAUUAUUUGUUUACUCUGAAGUUGUGAUUAAUUUUGCAGCAGUCUUGCCUCCACUCAAGUGAACUCUAAGUUGCAGAGAGGGAACAUAUUGUUGAUUUUGGAUAUUUGGGACUGCUGCUACAGGAUGAGGCUUGUCUGUGGUAAUAAUUCUGGAGGAUAAAUAACACGUCUGUUUCCCCACAAGCACCAUUUGCUCUUACAUGUAAGCUCUUUUGACCGCUGUGUAGUUGAGGAAGAGUUGAAUGUAAAAGUGUGUGUGUGUGUGUGACUAUCCUAAGUGUGUAAGUGGCUCAGGUGGUAAAGAAAGGACGUCCUAAUAAUAGCCCCCUGUCUCCACACUGGUCCACAGGCUGUAGCCGUAUCGAUUCUGCCUCUCCAUCUUCGGCGUUGCCCGGCAUAGACCAGAUACCGAGGGUUUAGUUUGGAAUCUUGUGCAGCGCAGAGCAGCGAUUUCUCCGACCUGAGCUGGAUAAAGCCGAACGCCCUGGGGGGAGGCAGCAGUGGUUUUUAAUUGUUUGUAGUGUUAGUUGGCCACGCUGGAGGCGAGCUCUCCAGGGACAGGCCUCCAGCCAGGGUCUUGACCCUGCAACUUACACACUUCCCUGCCCUCGCACAAACACCAAUGACAAAAUGAACGGACUAAUGCACACAUCUCUGCACAGGUACACUGAAGCAACAGUGACUGAGUACACACAAACACAACUACAUACACAUACUGUACAUGGAUCCUGUUUAUAAUGAGAAACCCAAUUAACAUUUGUACGAAGAAUUCAAAUAGUAUAAAGAUAGAGUGAAAACAUUCAUAUUUUCUAUAACUUUCUGUUUGCUACUUUUGCACCCAUUACACUAAAUAUAUUAAGGGUUAAUACUGCACAAGUCUUUAUAAUAUAGUGCUUUAUUCUAUGCCUCAAAACUCUAUUUACAUGCAACAAAAAUCCUAUAUCCCAUAAAUUCCCCAGAAGUGUGAAAAUAGUUUUUAAUAACGCUACAGUAACUGUGUGUGUGUGUGUGUGUGCAAAAUACACAGUAUUUUUUUUUUGUUUGGGAACUGUAUGAGGUAAGAUAGAAAAUAAAUGAGCUUUGAUUUUUGCUUAAGUGCCUUUUAAUCAUUCGUGAGACUAUAAUCAUUCGUAACAGUGAGAACCCAAAUGGACUUCUCAUAAAGAAAAUCUAAAAUCUUCCCUGCACUUCAGUUUUUUUCCCCCCUCUAUCUGCAGAAGUGGUUGUUUUAUCCUUUGAUCUGCAGUACAUUAAAGUAAUACUGUGGGUUUGAAAAACCAUUAGGUGGCCUUUUGCAGGGCAGCAGGUCUCUUUUAAAAGCACAAUGAACCUCUGUACAGAUCAGGUUAGAAACUUAGUUAAAGGCACAAUAACACAUAGUCUCAAAUUAGUCUUAAAUGGUGUUAGCCCUCAAAUAAGACCAUUGACUCCUGACCUGUGCUGCUGCAGUCCAAUUACACCUACGGCUUAUUCCUGUUUUCACAUGUUUUGAGCGAGGCGGUUUGUUCUCGGAUUUUGUCGAGAGCUUAAAUAUUCACAUGCUGUGUGUGUCUUUUGUCGUUCUUGCCCGCUCGUCUUUCUGUCCGUCAUGCUCUCUGUCCGUCUGUCUGUCAGGGUGGCAGGUCUUGUUGAAUAGAGAGUGGGUCAUCUCCCUGACAGAGCUCAACUGGUAGUUAUGGCAGCCUCGCCACGGCUGGCUGGCUCCACACAGUCACCAGGAGACAGGGGAUCAUCAAGUCUGUCCUCCUGCUCCAACACACACACACAUACACAUCUGUGUCACACACGAUCACGCCCUCGCUCUCAUCGUCACAAAACAUGCACCUAUAAUAAUAAUAGCUGGAUAAAGUUGUAAGAUCAUUAGGACAGAUUACUUUUUUUUUUUUUUUUUUUUUUACAUUUUCUAACGUUAUUUGCAGCUUAUUUCUAUACUGUGGAACUGAAAUUAAAGUUCAUUUUUGCUAAGAAAUCAGUAUAUAUAUUCUUGAUGUUUGUUUUGACUUGUACACUUAAGUACACAAAUUGUAAAGUAAAUAGUAAAAGUACAAUAUGUGAAAUUGUAAUUAAAAAGAAGACAUGUUUUAUGUAUUUUUCUGCAUUGACAACCCCCCCUACGUCAGUGUUCUCUAUGUGGGUGGGAAUUUUUGUUAUUGGUGCUGUAAUUUAAUUGGUGCAAUAAAAUAGUUUGUGCUUCAAUUCUAACGGACACACAUGCAAUUAAAGUUAGCCGCCACCUAGUCGCAUCUGUGAUUUUAGCACUCCUAUGUUACUCCAUGGCUGUGGCAUGUACAUUACUCUGUGUUGUUGUGACUGAAAUCACAGGGCGACGUACGGAGUGCUGAGGUUACAGAACUACCCUUUGCUGUGAGUUCUGACAGUCUGGUCAUUUGCCAUCACCAGAAAUGGACCCAUUACAGAGAGGCAGGCAGCUAAUGCUAGCAAGCUAAGGCUAGCCUUCUAGCUUCAACUUCCUGAGUGGAAUUGAAACUUCACAGAUGGACGUUUGAUAGCUAAAACUGUGGACUUGUUGAAAAGUAAGAAAAAACAGUCUCACUGUUUGUAGGA